AUUGCUCUCCAUAUUCAGCGAGGUCUGGCGGACCUGAUCCGCACUGUCGGAUCAGGUCUACCAAACCUUGUUAAAUAGAGGCCCAUUUAUUCAAUUCAUUUUUGGAACAGGGAGAUGGAAGAAGAGCUUGUUCUGUCCACUCCACGCUUUGGCCUGGUAUUGCAGUUCCGCCAGAAGCAGUGUUCCUCUG